GAGUUCGAUCCUGGCUCAGGAUGAAUGCUGGCGGUAUGCUUAACACAUGCAAGUCAGACGGGAAGUGGUGUUUCUAGUGGCGGACGGGUGAGUAACGCAUAAGAACCUGCCUUUGGGAGGGGAACAACAGCUGGAAACGGCUGCUAAUAUCCCGUAGGCUGAGGAGCAAAAGGAGGAAUCUGCCCGAGGAGGGGCUCGCGUCUGAUUAGCUAGUUGCUGAGGCAAUAGCUUACCAAGGCGAUGAUCAGUUGCUAGUCCGAGAGGAUGAUCAGCCACACUGGGACUGAGACACGGCCCAGACUCCUACGGGAGGCAGCAGUGGGGAAUUUUUUGCAAUGGGCGAAAGCCUGACGGAGCAAUGCCGCGUAGAGGUAGAAGGCCCACAGGUCGUGAACUUCUUUUCCCGGAGAAGAAGCAAUGACGGUAUCUGAGGAAUAAGCAUCGGCUAACUCUGUGCCAGCAGCCGCGGUAAUACAGAGGAUGCAAGCGUUAUCCGGAAUGAUUGGGCGUAAAGCGUCUGUAGGUGGCUUUUUAAGUCCGCCGUCCAAUCUCAGGGCUCACCCCUGGACAGGCGGUGGAAACUACCAAGCUGAAGUACGGUGAUGCGAUCCCGGUCGCAUCAUGUUACGACACAACUCAAUGCUACCGAGAUUGGCCCAAACUCGAGGGGCC
rnacentral:ncRNA from 1 species